rnacentral:rRNA from 1 species
UCUGGCGGCAGUAGCGCGGUGGUCCCACCUGACCCCAUGCCGAACUCAGAAGUGAAACGCCGUAGCGCCGAUGGUAGUGUGGGGUUUCCCCAUGCGAGAGUAGGGAACUGCCAGGC